ACGCUGGCGGCGUGCCUAAUACAUGCAAGUAGAACGCUGAAGGAGGAGCUUGCUUCUCUGGAUGAGUUGCGAACGGGUGAGUAACGCGUAGGUAACCUGCCUGGUAGCGGGGGAUAACUAUUGGAAACGAUAGCUAAUACCGCAUAACAGUAGAUGUUGCAUGACAUUUGCUUAAAAGGUGCAAUUGCAUCACUACCAGAUGGACCUGCGUUGUAUUAGCUAGUUGGUGGGGUAACGGCUCACCAAGGCGACGAUACAUAGCCUACCUGAGAGGGUGAUCGGCCACACUGGGACUGAGACACGGCCCAGACUCCUACGGGAGGCAGCAGUAGGGAAUCUUCGGCAAUGGACGGAAGUCUGACCGAGCAACGCCGCGUGAGUGAAGAAGGUUUUCGGAUCGUAAAGCUCUGUUGUAAGAGAAGAACAGGUGUGAGAGUGGAAAGUUCACACUGUGACGGUAUCUUACCAGAAAGGGACGGCUAACUACGUGCCAGCAGCCGCGGUAAUACGUAGGUCCCGAGCGUUGUCCGGAUUUAUUGGGCGUAAAGCGAGCGCAGGCGGUUAGAUAAGUCUGAAGUUAAAGGCUGUGGCUUAACCAUAGUACGCUUUGGAAACUGUUUAACUUGAGUGCAAGAGGGGAGAGUGGAAUUCCAUGUGUAGCGGUGAAAUGCGUAGAUAUAUGGAGGAACACCGGUGGCGAAAGCGGCUCUCUGGCUUGUAACUGACGCUGAGGCUCGAAAGCGUGGGGAGCAAACAGGAUUAGAUACCCCUGGUAGUCCACGCCGUAAACGAUGAGUGCUAGGUGUUAGACCCUUUCCGGGGUUUAGUGCCGCAGCUAACGCAUUAAGCACUCCGCCUGGGGAGUACGACCGCAAGGUUGAAACUCAAAGGAAUUGAC
rnacentral:rRNA from 1 species